rnacentral:tRNA from 1 species
GCCACCGUCUGCCGGGUCCAUGGCAGCGGACUUAAAAUCCGCCAAGUGUCGGUUCGAGUCCGACUGGGGGCA